rnacentral:rRNA from 1 species
CAGCAGCCGCGGUAAUACCAGCCCCGCGAGUGGUCGGGACGAUUAUUGGGCUUAAAGCGUCCGUAGCCGGGUUGGGAAGUCCUCCGGGAAAUCUGGCCGCUUAACGGUCAGAAUGCCGGAGGAUACUCCCAGCCUAGGGAGCGGGAGAGGCCGAGGGUAUUCCCGGAGUAGGGGUGAAAUCCUAUAAUCCCGGGAGGACCACCUGUGGCGAAGGCGCUCGGCUGGAACGCGUCCGACGGUGAGGGACGAAGGCCAGGGGAGCAAACCGGAUUAGAUACCCGGGUAGUCCUGGCUGUAAACGAUGCGGACUUUGUGUCGGACAAGCUAUGAGCUUGUCCGGUGCCGGAGGGAAACCGUUAAGUCCGCCGCCUGGGGAGUACGGCCGCAAGGCUGAAACUUAAAGGAAUUGGCGGG